rnacentral:rRNA from 1 species
AGCGGCGAACUGGUGAGUAACAGGUGGGUAACGUACCCUGGAGUGGGGGAUAAUUCCGAGAAAUCGGAACUAAUACCGCAUGUGGAUUUAAGAACCACGGUUCUUGAAUUUAAAGGUAGCACCGGGGAAACCUGGUGUUGUCGCUCCGGGAUCGGCCCGUCCCCCAUUAGCUAGUUGGUGAGGUAAAAGCUCACCAAGGCGACGAUGGGUAGCUGGCCUGAGAGGGUGGUCAGCCACACCGGGACUGAGAUACGGCCCGGACUCCUACGGGAGGCAGCAGUCUAGAAGCUUCGGCAAUGGGCGAAAGCCCGACCGAGCGACGCCGCGUGGGGGAUGAAGCCCUUCGGGGUGUAAACCCCUGUUAGGUGGGAAGAAUCCCUCUGAUUCGUCAGAGGGGUGACGGUACCAUCAGAGGAAGCCCCGGCUAACUCCGUGCCAGCAGCCGCGGUAACACGGAGGGGGCAAGCGUUGUUCGGAUUUACUGGGCGUAAAGGGGGCGCAGGUGGGAAGGCAAGUCCAUUGUGAAAACCUCGCCGCUCAACGGGAGGAGCGCAAUGGAAACUACCUUUCUUGAGAGCGGGAGAGGUGAGCGGAAUUCCCGGUGUAGCGGUGGAAUGCGUAGAUAUCGGGAGGAACACCGGUGGCGAAGGCGGCUCACUGGCCCGUUUCUGACGCUCAGGCCCGAAAGCCAGGGGAGCAAACAGGAUUAGAUACCCUGGUAGUCCUGGCGGUAAACGGUGGGCACUAGGUGUGGGAGGUACCGACUCUUUCCGUGCCGUAGCAAACGCAUUAAGUGCCCCGCCUGGGGAGUACGGCCGCAAGGCUGAAACUCAAAGGAAUUGACGGGGGCCCGCACAAGCGGUGGAGCAUGUGGUUCAAUUCGACGCAACGCGAAGAACCUUACCCGGGCUUGAACUUCCGGUGGUACUUGCUCGAAAGGGCGUGGGACCCCUUCGGGGGAGCCGGAAGAGGUGCUGCAUGGCUGUCGUCAGCUCGUGCUGUGAGGUGUUGGGUUAAGUCCCGCAACGAGCGUAACCCCUGCCCAUAGUUGCCAGCGGGUAAUGCCGGGCACUCUAUGGGGACUGCCCUCGAUAAGAGGGAGGAAGGUGGGGACGACGUCAAGUCCUCAUGGCCCUUACGUCCGGGGCUACACACGUGCUACAAUGGCCGUAACAGCGCGUUGCAAACUCGCAAGGGGGAGCUAAUCGCUGAAAAACGGCCUCAGUUCAGAUCGGAGUCUGCAAUUCGACUCCGUGAAGGCGGAAUCGAUAGUAAUCGCGGAUCAGCACGCCGCGGUGAAUACGUUCCCGGGCCUUGUACACACCGCCCGUCACACCACGAAAGUCAGUUGUACCAGAAGU